rnacentral:rRNA from 4 species
UUUGACCUCGGAUCAGGUAGGAAUACCCGCUG